UACAGAGGGGGCAAGCGUUAUUCGGAAUUAUUGGGCGUAAAGGGCGCGUAGGCGGCUUUGCAAGUGACGGGUGAAAGCCCUCGGCUUAACCGAGGAACUGCCUGUCAGACUGUGAGGCUUGAGACCGGGAGAGGUGAGUGGAAUUCCCAGUGUAGCGGUGAAAUGCGUAGAUAUCGGGAGGAACACCAGUGGCGAAAGCGGCUACCUGGCCCAUUCUUGACGCUGAGGCGCGAAAGCUAGGGGAGCAAACGGG
rnacentral:rRNA from 1 species